rnacentral:tRNA from 1 species
GACUCCGUAGUGAAGUUCAUGUUGAGUUGCAAACUCAUUGAUGUGUAUUGAGGAUACACCGGAGUCU